rnacentral:rRNA from 1 species
UCGACGGCAGCACGGGAGCAAUCCUGGUGGCGAGUGGCGAACGGGUGAGUAAUGUAUCGGAACGUACCUUUCAGUGGGGGAUAACGUAGCGAAAGUUACGCUAAUACCGCAUAUUCUGUGAGCAGGAAAGCAGGGGAUCGCAAGACCUUGCGCUGAUUGAGCGGCCGAUAUCAGAUUAGCUAGUUGGUGAGGUAAAGGCUCACCAAGGCGACGAUCUGUAGCGGGUCUGAGAGGAUGAUCCGCCACACUGGAACUGAGACACGGUCCAGACUCCUACGGGAGGCAGCAGUGGGGAAUUUUGGACAAUGGGGGCAACCCUGAUCCAGCCAUGCCGCGUGAGUGAAGAAGGCCUUCGGGUUGUAAAGCUCUUUCAGCCGGGAAGAAAACGCAUGGGUUAAUACCCUGUGUGGAUGACGGUACCGGAAUAAGAAGCACCGGCUAACUACGUGCCAGCAGCCGCGGUAAUACGUAGGGUGCGAGCGUUAAUCGGAAUUACUGGGCGUAAAGCGUGCGCAGGCGGUUUGUUAAGAUAGGCGUGAAAUCCCCGGGCUCAACCUGGGAACUGCGUUUAUGACUGGCAGGCUAGAGUAUGGCAGAGGGGGGUGGAAUUCCACGUGUAGCAGUGAAAUGCGUAGAGAUGUGGAGGAACACCGAUGGCGAAGGCAGCCCCCUGGGCCAAUACUGACGCUCAUGCACGAAAGCGUGGGUAGCAAACAGGAUUAGAUACCCUGGUAGUCCACGCCCUAAACGAUGUCAACUAGGUGUUGGGUGGGUAAAACCAUUUAGUACC